CAGCUUGCUGCUUCGCUGACGAGUGGCGGACGGGUGAGUAAUGUCUAGGAAACUGCCUGAUGGAGGGGGAUAACUACUGGAAACGGUGGCUAAUACCGCAUAACGUCGCAAGGCCAAAGAGGGGGACCUUCGGGCCUCUCACUAUCGGAUGAACCCAGAUGGGAUUAGCUAGUAGGCGGGGUAAUGGCCCACCUAGGCGACGAUCCCUAGCUGGUCUGAGAGGAUGACCAGCCACACUGGAACUGAGACACGGUCCAGACUCC
rnacentral:rRNA from 1 species